UACGAAGGGGGCUAGCGUUGCUCGGAAUCACUGGGCGUAAAGCGCACGUAGGCGGCUUACUAAGUCAGGGGUGAAAUCCUGGAGCUCAACUCCAGAACUGCCUUUGAUACUGGUGAGCUUGAGUCCGGAAGAGGUGAGUGGAACUGCGAGUGUAGAGGUGAAAUUCGUAGAUAUUCGCAAGAACACCAGUGGCGAAGGCGGCUCACUGGCCCGAUACUGACGCUGAGGAGCGAAAGCGUGGGGAGCAAACAGG
rnacentral:rRNA from 1 species